GGCCUUGCUAAAGGCCGAAGAAGGGGCCCUUAAGAAAGUUCCACUGCAACCUCAAGAGGUGGUUAACCGGCAACAGAUGAAGAGUAGCUUAUCUGACCAAAAAAGAUAACCACUCCAUCUGCUACACUGCCAUCAUCAAGACCACUGAAGCAUAAACCUUCCAGUGACAAAGGACAAACCAAACUAAAGGCCCUCCUUUAAUGACUGUCCCCCAAUAUGAUACAAAGCAAAGACAUGAGCUCAUAAAAAUGUACACUGUAUCUGAGUAUUUGUAGAGUAGGUCUGCAAGUUAGUUUCCUUAAACCAUUCUAACUAAAGAGCCAAGUAUCUUUUCUCACCACCUUGCAGUGGCAGAAGUCAAUCCACACUCUACUGGCACUCUCCCUCUAGCUGUUAUUGGGUAUAUAAAGUUCCCCCUUGUGUCUCACCUGAACUACUCUUGCACCUGUAGGAACGCUCACUAGAGCUCGCAAAACAAGCUCCUUUCCAACAGUCAGUCUGAUGUGACAAAUUGCUUUUACUGCCUUUAAUUGCUUAACUGAAAAACAUUAUUUUAACCUGUGAUUUCCU